AUGGUAAGCAGUUUUACUGAACACACCGACAGCAGAUCAGGCAUCCCUUUUAAUUCUCUUGUCCCACGGGGGUUUAAACGCUGCAGCACAGCAUGGUCCGGUAUACAGGUUCGGUUUCGGUUGUUGCUGGGAUGCAAGGUCAUUCGUCGCUCUGCUGAGUGAAAGUUGCUAAAACAGAGGCCUGCCGUCCAGAUGUGCACAUGCUUUGUAAGCUCAGAAAUGUAAGCGAGACAGGACAAACACCGCCGAUGAGCUCAAUUCAUUCUUGUCCCUCUUCUGUUGAGCUUUUGUCAGUGAAUACUCGUGUUUUCAGCUAGAAGUGGCUUUAAUUUGUGGAAAUUUGUCCAUGUUUAGUUGUGUUAAUGAUUCUCAUCAGACAAACAGCAGGCAUUUGUAAAAGCAAAGGGAGAAUCCUGUGACAGAGCUGAAACAAGUCAUUGUCAUUGUUCAAAAUCACAGAGUUCCAAGAGAAUAGGCAUCAUCUCUUCUCUAUAAUAUUCCGAAGAAAAUGUUUACUUAGGUGUUCCACUAACAGGGAUAUUUUCUCCCAUGUUUUUAAAAAUAUUUUGAAUCAGCAUCAUCAAUAGUUGCACCGGUCUAUAUAAAAAAAACUUGUGCAGCCGCACACUGCCAGCAGGUACCUGAGACCAUGUGACCAGGGUCUGCUGGUUAAUAAAAACUAAAGGUGACAGAGCCUUUGCAGCAGUGGCUCCAUCCCUCUGGAACUCCUUCCUUUCAGCCUCAGAUUUGAAGACUUAAUGUUUUCUUUUAAAAACCUGUCUUCUUUAAAUUUCUUUAUUACUGCAUAUUCUAUUUUACUCUGAAGCACUUUGUGAUUUUUAUCUUGAAAGGUGCUAUACAAAUUAAGUCUAUUAUUUAUUUAUUUUUAUCAUAUUGAUGACCAAUAAAGUUUUUUUUUAAAGCUAAAUGAUACUCAAAGUUAGACAUUUACAUCUAACCCCUUAAUGCCUGACUUUAUAUCCAGAUACCAUAUUUUUUGCACUAUAAAGCACCCAUAAAAAGCCUUAUUUAAAAAAAUCUAACCUGUGCCUU
rnacentral:lncRNA from 1 species